rnacentral:rRNA from 1 species
GUCUUUUUGUUUAUAAUUUAAAGUCUGACCUGCCCAAUGAUUAAUUUAAUGGCCGCAGUAUUUUGACUGUGCAAAGGUAGCAUAAUCAUUAGUUUUUUAAAUGGAAGCUAGAAUGAAUGGUUUGAUAAAAAAGAAUCUGUCUCUAUUAAAAUUUUAAAAUUUUAUUUUUAAGUAAAAAAGCUUAAAUUUUUUAAAAAGACGAGAAGACCCUAUAGAGUUUGAUAAAUAAAUAUUUAAUUUAUUAUAAGAUAAAAAUUUAAUUAAAUAUAUUAUUUUUUUAGUUGGGGUGAUUAAAAAAUUUAAUAAACUUUUUUAUUUAAUAUCAUUAAUUUAUGAAUAAUUGAUCCUAAAUUUUAGAUUAUAAGAAAAAAUUACCUUAGGGAUAACAGCGUAAUUUUUUUGAAGAGUUCUAAUCGAUAAAAAAGAUUGCGACCUCGAUGUUGGAUUAAAGUAUAAGUAUGGUGUAGAAGCUAUAUAUUUAGGUCUGUUCGACCUUUAAAACUUUACA